AUUGCUCACUUCAGCAGUACACAUAAAAAUUGGAACAAUACAGAGAAGAUUAGCAAGACCCCUGCACAAGGAUGAAACACAAAUUUGUGAAGCAUUCCAUAUUUAA